AUACNCNGCNNNUCGAGCGGACAGAUGGGAGCUUGCUCCCUGAUGUUAGCGGCGGACGGGUGAGUAACACGUGGGUAACCUGCCUGUAAGACUGGGAUAACUCCGGGAAACCGGGGCUAAUACCGGAUGGUUGUUUGAACCGCAUGGUUCAAACAUAAAAGGUGGCUUCGGCUACCACUUACAGAUGGACCCGCGGCGCAUUAGCUAGUUGGUGAGGUAACGGCUCACCAAGGCGACGAUGCGUAGCCGACCUGAGAGGGUGAUCGGCCACACUGGGACUGAGACACGGCCCAGACUCCUACGGGAGGCAGCAGUAGGGAAUCUUCCGCAAUGGACGAAAGUCUGACGGAGCAACGCCGCGUGAGUGAUGAAGGUUUUCGGAUCGUAAAGCUCUGUUGUUAGGGAAGAACAAGUACCGUUCGAAUAGGGCGGUACCUUGACGGUACCUAACCAGAAAGCCACGGCUAACUACGUGCCAGCAGCCGCGGUAAUACGUAGGUGGCAAGCGUUGUCCGGAAUUAUUGGGCGUAAAGGGCUCGCAGGCGGUUUCUUAAGUCUGAUGUGAAAGCCCCCGGCUCAACCGGGGAGGGUCAUUGGAAACUGGGGAACUUGAGUGCAGAAGAAGAGAGUGGAAUUCCACGUGUAGCGGUGAAAUGCGUAGAGAUGUGGAGGAACACCAGUGGCGAAGGCGACUCUCUGGUCUGUAACUGACGCUGAGGAGCGAAAGCGUGGGGAGCGAACAGGAUUAGAUACCCUGGUAGUCCACGCCCGUAAACGAUGAGUGCUAAGUGUUAGGGGGUUUCCGCCCCUUAGUGCUGCAGCUAACGCAUUAAGCACUCCGCCUGGGGAGUACGGUCGCAAGACUGAAACUCAAAAGGAAUUGACGGGGGCCCGC
rnacentral:rRNA from 1 species